GACGAACGCUGGCGGCGUGCUUAACACAUGCAAGUCGAGCGGUAAGGCCCUUUCGGGGGUACACGAGCGGCGAACGGGUGAGUAACACGUGGGUGACCUGCCCUCAGCUCUGGGAUAAGCCUGGGAAACCGGGUCUAAUACUGGAUAUGACUCCAUGACGCAUGUUGUGGGGUGGAAAGCCUUGUGCGGCUGAGGAUGGGCCCGCGGCCUAUCAGCUUGUUGGUGGGGUGANGGCCUACCAAGGCGACGACGGGUAGCCGGCCCGAGAGGGCGACCGGCCACACUGGGACUGAGACACGGCCCAGACUCCUACGGGAGGCAGCAGUGGGGAAUCUUGCGCAAUGGGCGAAAGCCUGACGCAGCGACGCCGCGUGAGGGAUGACGGCCU
rnacentral:rRNA from 1 species